rnacentral:rRNA from 1 species
GGCCAGACUCCUACGGGAGGCAGCAGUGGGGGAUAUUGCACAAUGGGGGGAACCCUGAUGCAGCGACGCCGCGUGGGUGAAGAAGUAUUUCGGUAUGUAAAGCCCUAUCGGCAGGGAAGAAAUUGGACGGUACCUGACUAAGAAGCCCCGGCUAACUACGUGCCAGCAGCCGCGGUAAUACGUAGGGGGCAAGCGUUAUCCGGAUUCACUGGGUGUAAAGGGAGCGUAGACGGCCAUGCAAGCCUGGAGUGAAAGCCCGGGGCCCAACCCCGGGACUGCUCUGGGAACUGUGCGGCUGGAGUGCGGGAGGGGCAGGCGGAAUUCCUGGUGUAGCGGUGAAAUGCGUAGAUAUCAGGAGGAACACCGGCGGCGAAGGCGGCCUGCUGGACCGCGACUGACGUUGAGGCUCGAGAGCGUGGGGAGCAAACAGGAUUAGAUACCCGCGUAAU